AGGAAUGAAAUACAGUUUGGUUUUAAUGACACUUUUAAUUAGUUACGUUUUACGGAACUUCAGUGUGCACACGGAUAUGAAACUCAGUGACAUUAAGUUAAAAUUAGGUAUGUCAUUACACAAUACCGUGGGUUUUCCAAUAACCAUUCAAUCAAGAAAACAAUAGUAAUUUUGUACUUUAAUGAUGCCGAAAUGCUUUCCCGUUAAAUCAAUUUAAUAUUUAUAUAUAUAUACUUGAAUACUAAUACAAAUUACAAAUUAAAAUAUAACAAAGGUGUAUGUUUUUAUGAGUAUAAUUAUUAUUAGUGCAACUAAUUAUGUAGAAUAUUAUCGUGUAUGCAUUUUAAUUUUAAUUUUUAACCUCCCGGGACUAUAACAAUUUUACCACUUUGCCUCUACCACGGAUAUGAAACUAAGUGACAUUAAGUUUCAAAUAGAUGUAUCAUAACAUAUUAUCAAUGGUUUUCCCAUAACUAUUCAAUUAAGACAUAAAUCGUAUACUACAUGAAAUAUGAUUUUUAACUAUACCUCUUAUUUAUCAUUUGUUCAAAAAUCAGAAUCAAAACUAUAAUGAUUUCACGAUUUUAUAAACUAUUUUAAUUUUUGAACGAAUAGUUUCUGUCAUAUUACAAUUUAAGCCGGUUAAGAUAACGGGAGAUAAAGGACAGUUUAAGCACGAAAAAGGCGUUGAGCGGAAAGUGCACGGCAUCGUGAACAAAUUUAAUUUCUUUUCCUACUAAGUUAAAAUCUUUUAAAAAUAUUAUUAUUACAUUUUUGUAUACUAGACAAUUAUAAUUUACAUAGAAAAAUAAAUGGAAACAUGUAUA
rnacentral:lncRNA from 1 species